rnacentral:rRNA from 1 species
GUCGAACGAACUUAAUACAUUCUUUUAGAUUGUAAGCGGUUAGUGGCGGACUGGUGAGUAACGCGUGAGUAACCUGCCUAUUAGAGGGGAAUAACAGUGAGAAAUCAUUGCUAAUACCGCAUAUGCUCACAGUAUCGCAUGAUACAGUGAGGAAAGGAGCAAUCCACUAAUAGAUGGACUCGCGUCUGAUUAGCUAGUUGGUGAGGUAGAAGCUUACCAAGGCGACGAUCAGUAGCCGGACUGAGAGGUUGAACGGCCACAUUGGGACUGAGAUACGGCCCAGACUCCUACGGGAGGCAGCAGUCGGGAAUAUUGCGCAAUGGAGGAAACUCUGACGCAGUGACGCCGCGUAUAGGAAGAAGGUUUUCGGAUUGUAAACUAUUGUCGUUAGGGAAGAAAAAAGACAGUACCUAAGGAGGAAGCCCCGGCUAACUAUGUGCCAGCAGCCGCGGUAAUACAUAGGGGGCAAGCGUUAUCCGGAAUUAUUGGGUGUAAAGGGUGCGUAGACGGGUGUUUAAGUUGGUUGUGAAAUCCCUCGGCUCAACUGAGGAACUGCAACCAAAACUGGAUAUCUUGAGUGUCGGAGAGGAAAGUGGAAUUCCUAGUGUAGCGGUGAAAUGCGUAGAUAUUAGGAGGAACACCAGUGGCGAAGGCGACUUUCUGGACGAUAACUGACGUUGAGGCACGAAAGUGUGGGGAGCAAACAGGAUUAGAUACCCUGGUAGUCCACACUGUAAACGAUGGAUACUAGGUGUAGGGUGU